UCUCCAGAAGAGGAAGGAAUAGAAUCAGUGGGAUUUUUCCUCCCGUUAAUUCGAGAGCUCGACUCUAUUUUGCGGGAAACGAUACUCGUUUACUGUCUCGAACGAUUGCAUACCGGAUAAGGAGAACGUGACUUCCGAGUUGUUUCCAAGAUUUUAGAAUUUGCAUCAUGGUGGAAAGAGAGUAUAGUUUAAUUCGUUUACGAGCGGAAUUGUUCCAUACUUUCGAGUUGGAUUGAGUGGAGAAUGAGAUGAAAUUUGAGGCGAUAAAUAUCCGAGGCGGAGAACAUUUCAACUAAGAUCCAUUUGUAACUUUGAGAAAAUGGAGAAGAUGAUGAAAGCUUUUCGAUUACUGCGGAAAAUCAAAAUUUAAGAAAAAUACCGAAGAAUAUUGCCAAAUUUCCUACGAAAACUUGGAAAAAUUUGGCAAACUUUCAAAAAUUCAUAAAAACUUCGGAACCUCGAAAUAUUAAAAAAGGGAGGAGAUAAACUUUCGAUAAAGUUAGAUAAAGAAAGGAAUCCCAAGAUGAUAACUCCUUCUUGAAUAAGAACACACACACACAGAUUCGCAAAAAAAUCUACGUUUUACGAAGAAUUGGAUAAAAUUUGAGACAAGAAUUCUUCAUUGUUAAAACGACAGGAAUGUAAAUAAACGAGCAACUAACGCGAAACAAUAUCAAUUUGACUCUGUUCAUCAGAUUAAGCGCGUAUUAAUUAAAAAGUUUUAUAAACAAAAAGAGAGAAACCGGCGAUCUUUGACUUGGCGAUUAAUCGUGCAAUCUCCUCAUUCAGGAAAAUAUUGUUUAACGAGCGUCAAUCAACGUAGAAUUAUAUUACAUGCAAUGAAUCACUAUACACGUAAUUGAAAUGCAUGGUUGAAUGAUCGAUGAAGUCUUUAUUACAGGGACGAUUGAAUUAGAAUGGAAUACGAAUUGAAGGGCGAUCGUUCACCUGUUGAUGCGUGAAUACGAUGGGCCGUUGUCCUGGCACACGAAGACCUCCAGGGAGAAGGAUAACGAUUAUUGUCGGAGAAGUGGCUUCCGGUAUCCUUCGAUGGACACCGUCGUCUUUUUCUUCGUUGAUUGUCGUUGGACAAUUCAGAUAGAAUUCAAAAACGGAUAUUAACUCGUGCUCUCUCGAUUUUCCAAAUAUUUAAAAGAUCCAUUGUCCGUUAACCCACUAAAGGAUUUCCAAUUUUCGAGGGAUUCCAUCAAUUUUUCGUGGAAACGAUCGUUGCGGAGGGAAAAAAGAGAGAAACGCAACCCCGCGGUUUCGAAGGGGGUAAGAUUAAAGGCGAGGGCGGGACGAGAAGAAGGCAGAGUUCGAUCAGAUAUAUUCCGUUGGGUUUCGAAAAGCGGGCCACGUAAUGAAUUCGUGCGCCCUUCGUCGAUGGCCUGGUUUCAUUGCGAGCUACGCCAUGCUAAAUGAAGGUACGACCUUCCGCGCGAGGGUCGCGCGAGGUCGCCGAAGAUUAGUCGCCGCUCCUUCGUGAACCUGAAAUUUCCCCGGCUCAGGAAAUUCAUCGAGAGGAUCCGUGAAUUAACACAUUCACAUAUGGUCGUUCAACCCUCUCUCAAUAAUGGAUAGAUACUUUUAAAAUCGCACAGAAAAAACGGCAUUGAGACGAAGGAAGGAAGCCAUCGCGCGAGCUGUUAACCCUUUCAUCGUUGCGAAACCGUACAUAGGUUUAAAACGGUUUCUGCAGUUUAAUUUAUCACCUGGACCAUUUAUCUUCCCGCAAAAAUUAAACUGAUCUUCUUACUACCGCCAUUUCCCCUAAUCAAUCCCAAAAAAACGUUGACACAUACGUCCUCGAGAUACAAUUAGCCCGGCUAAUUUCAUCCCCCGACUUUUCUUAUCGACCAUUUGUGAAUAGGGGUGGCUCGUUCAAACCACGUGUACACUCUUCUUGCCUCGUAAGUGGACGACGUAAUAACAAAUUGAAGGACAAAUCUGGGCAAAGAUACGCUUGUUCCACCGAUAAUUGAUCGAGUUGAGGAAUCAUCUUUAUUCGCGAAAAUAAAAGAGUGUUUAAAUACAAAAAGGGAGAGAAUCGACGAGUCUGAUAAUUUCCAUUCACCAAUACCGGACAUCUGAGAUACCUUUACAACUUAAAAAGAAAUUGGAACGAAGUAAUAAGAAAGCACGAGGAAGAAGAAGGAGAAGAAGAAGAAUCAUCUCUCUCUCUCUUUCUCUUAAUUGUUCGAACGAGCAGUUGAGCUCGUUAAAUCGGCGUUCCAGUUUGUCGGCCGGGGAGGGGGAGGUUGAGAAAGAAGGGAGGGGUUUUGGAAGGAGACAUUUUUCUCCGAGCACCGUUAAAUAAUUGUCUUCCUGAAACGAUUGGAAGAUAGCGAUGCAACGUGGUUAAAUCGAAAAGUCGAUUCCAACCCCCUCCCCGUCUCACCACCACCCCUCCCCAGAUACCGCUAACGGGAUCUGACAAGGCGAACGCCGGUACUCGCGCAUCUAUAGAGGGGCCGUAUCGAUUCUCGAGGCGGCAGGAACUCGCUGACAAGGUUACAAGGUUGCGCUAAUUGAGGGUUUUAAUUUCCUGUCCGCCCACCAGAACCCCCUCGCCCCCCUCCCCUCCUCCCCCGAUUUAUUCGGCCGGCCGCGAUACACGCGAUCCUUUUGUGUGCCGCCGCCGCUGGUUUUGUUAACCGAGUUAUUCGAUCGCACACUUUGGGAAGGAAAGGGUCUUUCUAGAAGAUAGAAUUGAUAACGCGGGGUAAAAGAAUCAGAGUCUGUGAUAUAUAAUAAUAAUCGAGAUUUUUUAAAAAUUUUUUUUCAAUUUUUAGGCUUCGUCAAUUUUCUAAUUUGGUGGCUAUGAUCGAAGUUCUUUGAGGCAUGGUUAAUCCCUGUGGAUGGAAUCCCGUUCGCGCGAUAAAGAUUUUUAAGUGGUUCGAUUUUAAAAAAA
rnacentral:lncRNA from 1 species